UACAGAGGUGCCAAGCGUUAGGCGGAAUCACUGGGCUUAAAGCGCGUGUAGGCGGGUCGUUAAGUGUCCGGGUGAAAUCCCACGGCUCAACCGUGGAACUGCCGGGCAUACUGGCGAUCUUGAGGCAUUCAGGGGCGAGCGGAACAAAUGGUGGAGCGGUGAAAUGCGUAGAUAUCAUUUGGAACGCCAAUGGUGAAAACAGCUCGCUGGGAAUGAUCUGACGCUGAGACGCGAAAGCGUGGGGAGCAAACAGG
rnacentral:rRNA from 1 species